rnacentral:pre_miRNA from 1 species
CAAGUACUGGUCUCAGCAGAUUGAGGAGGGUACCACAGUAGUCACCACACAGUCCGCUGAGAUUGGAGCUGC